rnacentral:rRNA from 1 species
CCACGGGGGGCUGCAGUGGGGAAUAUUGGACAAUGGGCGAAAGCCUGAUCCAGCCAUGCCGCGUGUGUGGAGAAGGCCUUCGGGUUGUAAAGCACUUUCAGUGGGGAAGAAAGCCUUGGGGCUAAUACCCUCGAGGAAGGACAUCACCCACAGAAGAAGCACCGGCUAACUCCGUGCCAGCAGCCGCGGUAAUACGGAGGGUGCGAGCGUUAAUCGGAAUUACUGGGCGUAAAGCGCGCGUAGGCGGUCUGAUAAGCCGGUUGUGAAAGCCCCGGGCUCAACCUGGGAACGGCAUCCGGAACUGUCAGGCUAGAGUGCAGGAGAGGAAGGUAGAAUUCCCGGUGUAGCGGUGAAAUGCGUAGAGAUCGGGAGGAAUACCAGUGGCGAAGGCGGCCUUCUGGACUGACACUGACGCUGAGGUGCGAAAGCGUGGGUAGCAAACAGGAUUAGAUACCCUGGUAGUC